CAGCCGCCGCGGUAAUACGUAGGGUGCGAGCGUUAAUCGGAUUUACUGGGCGUAAAGCGUGCGCAGGCGGCCCGUUAAGACAGGUGUGAAAUCCCUGGGCUCAACCUAGGAAUUGCGCUUGUGACUGGCGGGCUCGAGUACGGUAGAGGGGGGUGGAAUUCCUGGGGUAGCAGUGAAAUGCGUAGAGAUCAGGAGGAACACCGAUGGCGAAGGCAGCCCCCGGGGCCUGUACUGACGCUCAUGCACGAAAGCGUGGGGAGCAAACAGGAUUAGAUACCCUGGUAGUCCACGCCCUAAACGAUGGGUACUAGCCGUUUGGUGCGCGAUAGCGCUGAGUGGCGAAGCUAACGCGUGAAGUACCCCGCCUGGGGAGUACGGCCGCAAGGUUGAAACUUAAAGGAAUUGGCGGG
rnacentral:rRNA from 1 species